rnacentral:rRNA from 1 species
GACGUAGGAUGCGAGCGUUGUCCGGAUUUAUUGGGCGUAAAGAGUUCGUAGGCGGUUUGUUAAGUCUGAUGUUAAAGACUGGGGCUCAACCUCGGGACUGCAUUGGAUACUGGCAGACUGGAGUAUGGUAGAGGCAAGUGGAAUUCCCAGUGUAGCGGUGAAAUGCGUAGAUAUUGGGAAGAACACCGGUGGCGCAAGCGACUUGCUGGGCCAUUACUGACGCUGAGGAACGAAAGCUAGGGGAGCGAAUGG